UUGAUUAUGUCGUGUGCGAAGUGCGAACUGCGAAACAAGCGGCCAUUCCCCGACUCCCCGUCACUCGCCAGUCGACAUCGUACGAUACGUUUUUUAGGUUAUGCAGACGCCCGCCGCCCGGUGUUGUAUAAUAACCAGUUGGCGAGUGGAGGAGUGAAGAGUUUAGGGUCAGGGUGGCGUUUUCCCGCUCGCAUCCAUGGCUGAGGCUGACGCCAGAUCAGCGAUAUUAUAGAACCCACUAUGAAGACCCAUACAAAUCCUAUCUGUAAAAAAAUCAAACAUAAAAGCUUGAUCCGUCCACA